rnacentral:rRNA from 1 species
UACGAAGGGGGCUAGCGUUGCUCGGAAUCACUGGGCGUAAAGGGCGCGUAGGCGGAUCUUUAAGUCGGGGGUGAAAGCCCAGGGCUCAACCCUGGAAUUGCCUUCGAUACUGAGGAUCUCGAGACCGGAAGAGGUAAGUGGAACUGCGAGUGUAGAGGUGAAAUUCGUAGAUAUUCGCAAGAACACCAGUGGCGAAGGCGGCUUACUGGUCCGGCUCUGACGCUGAGGCGCGAAAGCGUGGGGAGCAAACAGG